rnacentral:siRNA from 1 species
AUGCACAUUUGUGGACGAAAUUGC